AUUGAACGCUGGCGGCAGGCCUAACACACGCAAGUCGAGCGAGCGGCGGACGGGUGAGUAAUGUCUGGGGAUCUGCCUGAUAGUGGGGGAUAACUACUGGAAACGGUGGCUAAUACCGCAUACUCUCGGAUGUACCCAUAUGGGAUUAGCUAGUAGGUGGGGUAACGGCUCACCUAGGCGACGAUCCCUAGCUGGUCUGAGAGGAUGAUCAGCAACACUGGAACUGAGAGACGGCCCAGACUCCUACGAGAGGCAGCAGUGGGGAAUAUUGCACAAUGGGCGCUAGCCUGAUGCAGCAAUGCCGCGUGUAUGAAGAAGGCCUUAAGGUUGUAAAGUACUUUCAGCGGGGAGGCGUUACCCGAAGAAGAAGCACCGGCUAACUCCGUGCCAGCAGCCGCGGUAAUAC
rnacentral:rRNA from 1 species